AACGCACAUUGCGCCUUUUGGUAUUCCGAAAGGCACGUCCGUUUGAGCGUCAGUUAAACUCUCAUGGAGUAAUUCAUGGUAUUGGGGCUCCCCGUUGCGGGAGCCUCUAAAACUGACGGGCAGCGCCCUUUGACAUAAUAGAUUUUUAUACUGUCACCAGUGGUAAAGCCCUCAAGACGGUGCCCCGGCACCUUACUCUUGACCUCAAAUCGGAUGAGGAUACCCGCUGAACUUAA
rnacentral:misc_RNA from 1 species